GUCCACGCCGUAAACGGUGGGUACUAGGUGUGGGUUUCCUUCCUUGGGAUCCGUGCCGUAGCUAACGCAUUAAGUACCCCGCCUGGGGAGUACGGCCGCAAGGCUAAAACUCAAAGAAAUUGACGGGGCCCGCACAAGCGGCGGAGCAUGUGGAUUAAUUCGAUGCAACGCGAAGAACCUUACCUGGGUUUGACAUGCACAGGACGCUGGUAGAGAUAUCAGUUCCCUUGUGGCCUGUGUGCAGGUGGUGCAUGGCUGUCGU
rnacentral:rRNA from 1 species